rnacentral:misc_RNA from 1 species
UGAUCAUAGAAUUAAUAAAAUUAAACGGAUUGGCUAAAAUUAAUAAUUAGCACAAAGGUCAAAUGUAGAAAGAUUGUAUCUCAUGUGCACACAUAUCUGCCAAUUGAUAAACGAAGAUAGAAAACGCAUGCUAGAAAUUUAUAGAAACUCAAGGCCCAUCUACAUGGCCCACAACAGGAAAAAAUGAACAGAAUAAAAGUCAAUUUUCCUCCUCAAAUUGGUAGUGAGGGCCAAUUAAGCUCUAGUUCGUAAAUUAGAAUCAAUAAGCAUGACUACUCAUGGUAGCCGCAAAUUAACACAACAUUCCUUAGUAAUUGAUAUUUAUUCAUAUAAUAA